AUGAAGGGCCCGGCGGCGGCGGCGGCGGCGGCGGCGGCGGGGGCGGACGAGCGGCCCGAGGAGAAAGAGAUGGACUUGCUCCUCAGCGAGAUCCCCCAGGUCACCUCCCCCCAGCCGCACCGCGCCGGCGCCGGCGCCGCCCUCUCCCAGGGCCAGGGCCAUGGCGGCGCCGACCGCCGUCACGGCUUCGCGCCGCCGCGCCAUCACGGCUACGCCGCGUCGCCCCGGCGCGCCGACGACGCCUGCUACGCCGUCGUCGUCAACCGCCGCGACGACGGUGAUCACCAGGGCGCCGGCGCCGGCGCGUACCACCCGCCGCUCCGCGUCUGCCCGGCGCCCCUGCAUCCGUCGAGCCCCUUCGUCGCCGCCGCGCCGUCCCCGCUCGUGCAGCCCGUCGACGACCCGGAGAAGCAGUGGCUGGCGAACCAGCUCCGCGGCCUGCUCGUCGAGGACGCGCCCGCCGCGCCCCAGGCCCCGCCCGUCGGCAACGGCGCCCCGGCGGACUUCUCUGCGCCGCGUGGCGCCGCGUACUAUGGCUACCCCUUUGGGGCGCCGGGCUCCUCGGUUCACGGCGAGCCCCUGGUGAACGAGCAGGCCAUGGCGGCCGGCUACCGCUUCGCACUCGGCCCGGACGUCGGCCUGGGCGCCCACCCCACCGGCCUGGAGGUCAACAUGAACGGCUUCAUGUACAAUAGGACAGCAAACGGCACUGGCAUUGGUUGGGGACAGGGCCUGGUGCACCCUGCUCAUGCUCACCCCGAGCCCUUCAUGCUUCCUGGGCAGGCUGCCCCAGAACAACACAACUGGGGGUUUGUUGGGACUGGUCCGAUUGCCCUUGACCCCCGUGGUGGAGCAGGCCGUUCACCCAAAUUGCACUGCGAGUACGGCGUGCCUGUGCACACCGGCAAUCGCUACAUGAAAGGCGGCAUGAAUAAUCAGAUGGAGGCGUUUCGCCGCGAGGACGGUCAGAAUUUCGAUGGCAAGAAGAACAUGCCUGUUCUCUACCGUGCCAAGGACAGGAGGUUUCAGCAGCAUGCCAACAACAACAGGGCACUGGAGCUGGAGAGUCCUAGGAUGCUGAGGUAUGAGAACAUGGUUGGAGUUAAGGGGUACAUCUACUUCAUGGCCAAGGACCAGAAUGGCUGCCGCUUCUUGCAGCAGAAGUUUGAGGAAGGGAAGCAACACGUGGAUGUGAUUUUCGAAGGAAUCAUUGACCACAUGGCAGAGCUUAUGAUCAACUCGUUUGCCAACUAUCUCAUUCAGAAGCUUCUGGAUGUGUGUGAUGAGGAUCAAAGGCUGAGGAUCAUCGCCGUGCUGACGGAGGACCCUGUGAAGCUGCUGAGAAUCUCUGUGAACUCACAUGGGACAAGGGCAGUUCAGAAAUUGAUAGAGACUGUUAAGGUCAGGAAGCAGAUAGUGCUCAUUAUUUCGGCCCUACAACCAGGCUUCAUGCAUCUUGUCAAUGAUCUCAAUGGUAAUCAUGUCAUACAGAAGUGCUUGUCAAACUUUGGUGCAGAGGAGAACAAGUUCAUAUUUGAGGCUGCUGCAACUCACUGUUUUGAAAUGGCAAUACAUCGCCAUGGCUGCUGUGUUUUACAAAAGUGCAUAACUAGUGCACGUGGUGAAUAUCAGGCGAAGCUAAUUGUGGAAGUGUGUGCUCAUGCCUUUCAGCUCGCUCAAGAUCCAUUUGGCAAUUAUGUGGUACAGUAUGUCCUGGACCAGAAAAUUCCUUCUGCAAAUGCACACCUGGCAUCUCAGUUUGAAGGAAGUUAUGUUUAUCUCUCAAAGCAAAAAGUGAGCAGCAAUGUGGUGGAGAAAUGCCUGAAGGUCUUCUCAGAUGAAGACAAAGCUGCCAUAGUGUUUGACUUGAUUUCAGUGCCUCACUUUGAACAACUGCUGCAAGACCCUUUUGCGAACUACGUCAUUCAUACUGCCCUUGUUAACAGCAGGGGCCAUCUCCAUAAUGCCCUGGUUGAAGCAAUCCGCCCUCAUGAAGAAGCCCUUCGGACCAGUCCCUGUUGUAAGAGAAUCUCUAGAGCCAUCUCUAGGAGGUGA
rnacentral:rRNA from 1 species